UACGUAGGGCGCAAGCGUUAUCCGGAAUUAUUGGGCGUAAAGAGCUCGUAGGCGGUUUGUCGCGUCUGCCGUGAAAGUCCGGGGCUCAACUCCGGAUCUGCGGUGGGUACGGGCAGACUAGAGUGAUGUAGGGGAGACUGGAAUUCCUGGUGUAGCGGUGAAAUGCGCAGAUAUCAGGAGAACACCGAGUGGCGAAGGCAGGUCUCUGGGCAUUAACUGACGCUGAGGAGCGGAAAGCAUGGGGAGCGAACAGG
rnacentral:rRNA from 1 species